UUUGACAUACAAGUAGUAGGGAAGGAAACUGGACGACCUUCGGGAGCUUGCACAGGUGCUGCAUGGCUGUCGUCAGCUCGUGUCGUGAGAUGUUCGGUUAAGUCCGCUAACGAGCGCAACCCUCGCUGUGUGUUAUAUGUGUCACACGGGACUGCCGGUCUUAAGCCGGAGGAAGUGGGGAUGAUGUCAAGUCAGCAUGGCCUUUAUAUCCUGGGCUACACACACGCUACAAUGGCCAACACAAUAGGUUGCUAAGCCGCGAGGUGGCGCCAAUCCAUAAAGUUGGUCUCAGUUCAGAUUGUAGGCUGCAACCCGCCUGCAUGAAGAUGGAGUUGCUAGUAACCGCAGGUCAGCUAUACUGCGGUGAAUACGUUCCCGGGGCCGUU
rnacentral:rRNA from 1 species